rnacentral:sRNA from 1 species
GCCCCAUUCAGCCCCACUAAUCUAUCUAGGCACCCCUAAAUUCCGGGGAAUGAAUUUAAAAACUAUCCGAUUAGGACACCCCGGGCCUAGCGAGGACCUAGGUGAGACGAGGCCUAGGCGCCCUUAAUAGGUGGUUAGUGCAAGCAAGGCCGUGACGGCCAAUUGGUAGGCUGGAAUGCCGAGAUUGGCAGCCGGAAGGUCGGGGGAUUUAACUAGAAUUGGGUAGCUCUGGCGUUAUUCUUAGUGAGGAUCCCACUUAGGUAGGCUAGUUAAGGAACCUGGGUGGGCGGCGGUGCUCUAGGGGGAAUGAUAACCCCUAGAGUGGCCCGAGAGGACAGAGGCGGCGGCCGGUUAUAUAGGGUGUUAAAAUAUGUAUAUAGCUCAAGGUGUAAACUGCAGGGGUUUGUCCUGUAGUCUCAAAGUAUUUAUAUUGACUAGCAGUCAUUCUCUUGAUAUUAGUUUCUUUGAUUGAACAGUUUGAAUAGUUGUUUGAUUCUGGGC